GCUAAGUAUUUUUCCAUCCCUCUAUCAGCGUUGUAGGAGCAAGAUUUUAAUUAAUUUUGAUGCAACGCAACAAAUUGCUUUCUACAAUUUAGGCCCCUACUUAUCUUGUAAAAAGUCAGUGGCCUUUGGUGAAUAAGGGCGAAGAACCAACAUUAGUGGAAUAUUAUUUUCCAAAAAAGCUUUGUGUAACAAAAGAGUCACAUUUUGACAUGCAGUUCAUCUACUGCUGUGAGAAACACACAAGUCUCUUAAGAGUGGACCUUUUCUGAACGCCUGUUCUAAGUGGCUGGACCAUUAGUAGCAAUCUGCUACUGGAACACAAACAAAAUCUUGUAUGUCUAUCUUGCAGAUAGGAAAGAUGAAACAGUGCAUUCAUGAACCAUCCUGAGCAUGAACGAGAACACUUUUGACCCAGGAUCGAAGAGAAAGAGGAAGAAACUGUAGAUAUGUGCAGUCAGAUUUAAGUUGCAUGGUUGUAGAGAAACUAAAGGCUACUUGUUUCACCCACAUAUAGCCAUUAUACAUGCUGAGGAUCAAAAGCCAAGAGCACUCCACAGCCUGCAGGAAUGGGCUCUGACACAGUGUGCUUCUGCACGAAAACUGCCUUCCUGCACAUCUCAGCUGAUCAAGAAGAAAGUAUGUCUUUCAAAGAGCAAAAAGCUUCACUGCAAACUGAACAAGGUCUUAGGAGACACAUGAAGCCUUCUGAUAAAUGGAGCGUUUGGGUGAUGAAGAGGUGACUUGAAGACUUCGGAUGCUUCACAUUCCUGCUCCUGGAGCACAGUGAAAUAAAGAUGUGUAGUGUAAAUCCUUCCCUGCUAUGAAGUCUAGCUGUCCCAAUGGCCAUGGAUAGACUUCCUGCAGAUGUAAACCAUGGACACCAUCAGACUGUCCCUCACUCCAACUCUUUCAACAUCCCAUACUGAAUUUCUAACCUUUGCUAGCCAUUGAGAUCAUUUCUUGGCACUGACAGAAUAUUAGUGAUUUCCAUAAUUUUUGAAAAAUAUCUUCUGGAAGAUGGUGAGAAGGCACAGAAGGAGAUAACAACCUUUCCCUAGCAGGGAUCAUCAGAACCGGCAUCAUCUUAAUUUACUGAUAUUUUAUGGAACCUAUGAUUUUUUUUUUCUUGCAAGAUAUUAUGCCAGCCAUCCAGCUCAGAUGCUGAUCUUGAACAUCAUGGACAUGAGAUGACAGCCUCAAUCUUGUGAUUAGGGCUGAUCCUUCUGCUCAGUUCCUG
rnacentral:lncRNA from 1 species